UAAACCCACACUAUCUGAAAUUCUAUACUCGAUCCUAUGUCUAACUAGGUCGGUUGCUUACAACUUGGAAGGGUAAUCAGACGCCCCCAAUAUAUAGAAGUGUCCGCAGGAUUGUCAGGUCACUUCCAGAGGUUUCCUUCCCCCCAAUAUCGUCUCGGACAAUUCUGAGGAAGUAGCCAAUAUAGGCUGGUCUACCCUCAC
rnacentral:lncRNA from 1 species